GAAGAGAGAACCUUGUCUCAGAUAUCCCACUGAACCUUGACUCAGAUAAUCACUCCUUGAAAAACCCAUUCCAUCUCAACAUUCUCCACCGACAACCGCCCACCACCGCCGUCACAGGCCUUGCCAUCGCCGCCUAUCGCUCUACACGCACAUCUGUCUUCUUGUUUACACACUCUGCCUCAGAUCUAGGUCGAAUCCGCGCCAGAUCCACUCAAAUUGAUAAUGUGUUUAAUUGCUUCAUUACUUUUUGGGCUGCCUGGACUACCUCCCUCUUGCUCUUUGCUUAUCCAUACUGUUUUUUGUCGAUCUUACAUUGAGAAUUUUUGAAAAUUAUGCAGAUUGAGCAUGAGGCUGGUCAAGAAGGAUGCCUUUUUCCUUCUAUUGGGAAACCAUUUGGCAAAAAAGAAGCAUUUCUAAUGGAUGAUAAAACAUAAUUGCAAACCCAUCGAUAUGUGCUCUUCAAUUGUGCUUCUAAAGUGGAUGAAGAUUAUAGAAAGUGAGUGAUCAUCUAACUCUCUUUAUUGUUUACCAUAUAUAACAUUAUUAGUGACAUAUAUAUGGGUAUCACGUACGGUGAACAUAUUAGUGAGAUCAAGAGAACACAUCACAAACGUCGCUUUUCUCCACAUCAACUUGAUAGCUUGCAUUUUAAUUCAUUUCAUGAAUGGUUCAAGGAUGAAGUAAGUAAAGAAUUUAAUUAUUAUUUUUUAGUUAAUAUCAUAUUAAUUUAUCAAAAGUUUAUAGCUUUUAUAUUAUUUUCUGGUUAGAUUAACAAGUUGGAUAUCACAUUUGGUUCCCAAAGUGAUAUAAGAACCCUUUCACGAGGUCCAAGUUACAUUGCAAGAUGAUUCAAAGGUUUUGAUUUGAACAAUGGGUGUCGAUUUCGAACAAAUAAGCAUGAAGAGUCCAAGGCAACACAAAAUUCUGGUGUCAUGGUUGUCUCAAAGGUGAUUAGCUAUGCAAGUGCAAGUGACAAUGCUCCCAAGUCAGAAAAUAUCAAUUAUUAUGGAAGAUUGACUGAUAUUAUAGAAUUAAAUUACUUUGAAGAAUUUAAGGUUGUUUUGUUUAAAUGUGACUGGGUUGACAUAACCAAAGGUAGAGAAGUUAAGAAAGAUGACUUGGGUUUCACACUAGUGAACUUUUCACACUUAAUACAUACCGGUGAUCAAGAGAGUGAUGAACCUUUUGUAUUUGCAAACCAAGCUCAACAAGUGAUAUUUGUGAAAGAUCCUCAUGAUCAUGAAUGGUUUAUCCCUAGGCUAAUUAGUCCUCAAGACAUAUAUAAUAUGGGAGAAAAGAAAAUUAUGCAGUUUGAACAAUUAAUGCAAAAUGAUAAUGGUGACUUAACUUUGUUAGAGAAAAUUCGUCACUUUGAGGAUGAGAAUAAUGAUUGGGUUAGAAGUGGGGUUAAUGGUAUAGUAAUUGAUCAUGGAUAUUCACCAAAUCAAACUGAUGACAAUUCUGAGUAAGUUAGAUGCUCGUUUGGAGAGGUGUUAAUACACGCAUGGAGAAGCAGAUGCAGCCCUUACUUUGAUAUAUAGCUCUUACUUUGAUGUUUUGAAUUUUGACCUUUAAAUUUGAAGGAUCUUUUAUGUCUUAAGAUUGGUUACUUAUUCUGUUUAUUAAUGUUGACCUAGGGAGUUUGUAAGACUUGGUUAAUUAACGGCUAAUUAACCUAUAAAUGAGAAUUUAUUCUAGAAAGUCUAAAAUGUGAUUUUUAUGGCUAAAUGUGAUAGAGGAGAUUGAGACGAGAAUUUCGAUACCAAUUUUAUAGAAUUUGGACCAGGAUUGGACCGAACGGGCCAAACCGGGCCAAUCGAACCCAAAGUGGGCCCUUGACCCAACUAAACUAAACCAAAACUCUAGUUUUCAGCACUCUCUCUCCUCAUUUGUUGCACACACACGCUGAAAAUUAGAAGGAAGGGGGGAGAACACUCUCUCAAGUUCUAUCUCUCCCUUGAUCUUCAAACCACCAUAAUUUUUGAUUUAGAGCUCCGAUUACCGCACCAUUUGUGGCCACGCGUUCACCGCAGAGAGCUCUACAAAACACAUACAAUUAAUCUUGAGGUAAGCCACAUUUUGAUCUUCGAAUUUCCAGCUUUGACUUCGAGUUUUAUGAGCAAAAAUAUUGAGAUUUUGAGCUCUUUGAUGUUAUAGGACCCAACUCUCUUGAAGGAGAAGGUUAAUCUUGUCUCCUUGGACCUUGGGUGUGGUAAGAUUCUCAACCCUAAUGUAAAUUAUUGUUCUAUGAUGUUUGGGUAUUGAGAUGUUGUGUUUGGAUAUGAUGAUUGUGGCUUAGGUUGUGUAUGUGUGAAUAUUGGAACUUGAUUGGUGAUUUUGAAAAGCUUAGAAAAGGAUUUGGUGGUGAAAAAUCUGUUCUUGGAAGUGUUGAGGCCUUGAGAGCUUGAGGAAAAAGUGGUUUGGAAGUGCUCCGGUUGAGCUUGGGAAAUCGGCUGAGGUAUGGUCUCGGUUUCCCGUAUCUAAUAUGUAAUGUGGUAGGAAAUACUUAGGCUAGAGGCCCUAAGAUAGGCAUUGAAUUGUUGAUGUUGUUGAAUUGUUGAUAUAUAUGAUGUGGUCAUAUAUGUGAUGAUGAUUAAUGAUGCCUUGAUGGUAUGAUGUAUGAGAAAUAUGCAUGUUGUGAUAUAUGCUUGAUGAUUGAUUAUGGUUGAAUUGUGGGUGGAACCAUGUUGGUGGUGAGUAUGAUAUUAAUUGUGUACAAUGAUGAUUUAAUGGAAUUGGUGUCGUUGAAAAUUGGCAUGAGGAAGAGUAUAUGAUAUGUCAAUGUGUUUGAGUUUGAGCCACUUGGGUGAAGUGGGUUAAAAUGAUGGGAUGGUGAUUUUGUGAAUUGUGGUAAAGUGUCAAUGUGUGAGUUGAGGAGGCUUGAUGUUGAAUUUGAUAUAUUUUGAUCGAUUUCAAAGAAAAGGGAUGAAAUUGGCAUGUUUUGAUUGAUUUUGAAAAGAGUUGAAAAUGACUUGUUUUGAAAAUGGCACUUUGUGGUUUUGUAUGAAAAACAUGGUUUUGGGCAUACUUUGGUGGGACAUAACUUGGACUACGGAUCUCUGUUUUGUACCAAAUCUGUUUAGAAAUAAAAUUGGAUCCGGGAUGUCCAUGCCGUUUGAAGAACGGGUAAAAAACGAUUUAAAAUGAGAAAGUUAUGUCCGUCGAAAGAUUGGGGGUAAUUCUGCAGCUUUUAACUUAGAAAAAUUUUAGUAGAAUAAUCCCCCGCGCGUAGGCGCACUUGGCGCGUACGCGCCGUUCUUCUAGAAAGCGCCAUCAACGCGUGUGCGUGGUGUGCGCGGGCGCGCCGAUGUGCUGCACCCAAUGCCCAGCCAUUUUUCAGAGAGUCGUGCCAAAACUGUGCCAAAUUUGUGCCUGGGGCACGAGAGCACCCACGCGUACGCGUGGCUGACGCGUGCGCGUCGCUUAGCUAUUUUUCAAUCCAUGCGUUAGCGUGCAUGACGUUUAAGCGUCGAUGAGUUUUGUGGCCAUCCACGCGUGCGCAUGGAGCGCGCGUACGCGUGGCCCUGUUUUUAUCCCAAAGUUGAUUUUUGAGUUUUAAAAGCCAAAUUUCAUACUUCUAAGCCUCCGAUCUCACCACUUAUGUCUUAAAUCAUUAUGAUAUGCCUAGUUAUGAGAAAAAGAGCUAGUGAAUGUGGUAACUUGCGAGUGAAGCAAGGGAAAAAUGAAUGAUCAAUAAGGAUCUGAGAUGAUUAUGCGAGAUGCGGAGGUUGGCGGUGGAAGUGCUUGUUAAGCCAUGGGCCGAAGAGCCGUAAUUGUUGAUGAAUUGGCUGGUUAUGGAUUUAACCGUGAGCUGGAUGGCUAGAUUAUUGUCAUGUUACGGCGGAGCCAUGAUUAUGGCUAUGUAUAAAUGCAUAUAUGUUGUUGAAUGAAUUGUGAAUGUUGCACUUCCACUGUUGGAGAUGAGAGUUUCCCUGGAAGGAAGCAGUGGCUAGCCACCAUGUGCUCCAGGUUGAGACUCAAAGCUCUUUUGACCCUAUGUCGUAAGGGUGGCGGGCACUGUGAAAGCCCCGGAUGAGCUCGCCCCCGUAAAUAUUCACCAGUGAAGGUGAUGGAUAUAGAUCAUGAUUAUGAUCAAGUUUAUGAUGAGUAUAACUCAAGUUGGGGAUGCGCGACAGAGGGACAGUCCAAUGGUUAGCUACCAGGACUUGUCGGGUUGGCUCUAUAACCGACAGAUGAUAUCAUCAGCCACUAGGGACAGGCAUUCAUCAUAUGCAUACUAUAUGAAUUGUUUGAGACUGCUUAUUUGACUGCAUAUUACUUGCUAAUUGUCUAAAUGCCUUAUCUGUUCCUAUUUGUAUAUCUCUUAUUUGAAAUAACUGUGUUUGCUAUAUUAUACUCCUGUUGGUGGUUGGGAGGUCUGAAGGAAUUGGAAAGGGAAGUAGUAGUUAGACUGAAGAAUCUUUAGUCAGAUGCUCUUUAUGGUUUAGCUUGUUUAUAAGCUUUGAAUUAUCUGGAGGAAGUUCUAGGAUUGCCUUCAGCUUUCCUCUAUUAUUAUGUAUUAUAUAUGUGGAAGCUGUUACCAUGCUGGGGACCUCUGGUUCUCACCCAUGCGGAUUUUGUAGUUUUCAGAUGCAGGACGUGAGGUUUCUCGCUGAGGCCUGCUGGAGACUUCUGGAUUAGCGAAGAUCCUUUGUUCUUGGGGACUCUAUUUUAGUUUAUAUGUUUUGCUUAGAUACUUUUAUCUCCGUUAAAUAAUACAAAUUGUGAUGACUCCUCUUAUAGGAGAUUUUGGAGAAUAGGUUUUAUGUAUUUGUGUCCCUUUGGGUUUUCUUGGGGUAUCUUAUUCUAUUUAUAUGUAUAUAUUGCUAUGCUCGGACUAGUUAUCUUCGCAACCAGAUUUUGAGUCUUGAUAUUCCUAUUUUUGACA